UACGGAGGAGGCAAGCGUUAUCCGGAAUUAUUGGGCGUAAAGCGUCCGCAGGUGGCUAUUCAAGUCUGCGGUCAAAGACUGGGGCUUAACCCUGGAAAGGCCGUGGGAACUGAAGAGCUAGAGUGCAGUAGGGGUAGAGGGAAUUCCCGGUGUAGCGGUGAAAUGCGUAGAGCUCGGGAAGAACAUCGGUGGCGAAAGCGCUCUGCUGGACUGCAACUGACACUCAGGGACGAAAGCUAGGGGAGCGAAUGGG
rnacentral:rRNA from 1 species